AACAGACCAAUCUCAUAAUGGGUUGUCCCUCAUUCUCCCCAUCUGUUCCCCCCUCCCCUGCCCACACAUCCUGCUUCCAGCUGCUCUUUGCCCAGAGUAGCCCAUCCCUUCUCAUUCACUUACCUUCUGCCCAUGACUCUCUCAGUGCACCUGAUCCAUGCCAGCCCCUCCCUAUCCAAUAUAAAUACACUGAGCACAGACAGAGUCUCAGGCUUCCUGCUCUUGCUCUGCACUCUUGGGUAUUUCUUGUGUCACUCCCUGCUCUUGCCCCAUAAAGAUGGAUCCAGGUCCAAAGGGGCACUGCCAUGGCGGCCAUCCUCCAGGACCUGGUGGUCCCCCACCUGGUCAUGGUCCAGGGCACUGUCCUGGGGGAGGCCACCCCCCAGGACCUGGUGGGCACCCCCCUGGUCAUGGCCCAGGGCACUGUCAUGGGGGAGGCCACCCCCCAGGACCUGGUGGGCACCCCCCUGGUCAUGGUCCAGGGCAUUGUCAUGGGGGAGGUCACCCCCCAGGACCUGGUGGUCACCCCCCUGGUCAUGGUCCAGGGCACUGUCAUGGGGGAGGCCACCCCCCAGGACCUGGUGGGCAUCCCCCAGGCCAUUGCCCAGGGCAUCCCCCUGGUCCACACCACUGAAGAAACAAGAAAAAAAGACACAAGAUGAGGAACCUGAGAAGGUUGCCUUCCUGACCUGGCACUAGACAUGGACCAGAAUCUUCUCUUCCUAAUAAACAGCCUCCUGGAGGCCAAGUUUUAUUCUUUAA